GGGUUCCUAGCUCAAUUGGCAGAGCAGCGGCCUUUUAAGCCGCGGGUUCUGGGUUCGAGUCCCAGGGAACUCA
rnacentral:tRNA from 1 species